rnacentral:rRNA from 1 species
CCUACGGGUGACAGCAGUGAGGAAUAUUGGUCAAUGGCCGGAAGGCUGAACCAGCCAAGUCGCGUGAAGGAAGAAGGACCUAUGGUUUGUAAACUUCUUUUAUAGGGGAAUAAAGGGAGGCACGUGUGGAUAUUUGCAUGUACCCUAUGAAUAAGCAUCGGCUAACUCCGUGCCAGCAGCCGCGGUAAUACGGAGGAUGCGAGCGUUAUCCGGAUUUAUGGGGUUUAAAGGGGGCGUAGGUUGUUUUUUCAGUCAGCGGUGAAAGUUUGUGGCUCACCCCUCAAAUUGCCGUUGAAACUGGCAGCCUUGAGUGUGUUUGAGGUAGGCGGAAUGCGUGGUGUAGCGGU